rnacentral:rRNA from 1 species
GACGAACCGUGCAAACGUUAUUCGGAAUCACUGGGGUUAAAGGGCGCGUAGGCGGGCCGCCAGGUCCGGGGUGAAAGCCUCCAGCUCAACUGGAGAAGUGCCUUGGAUACCGGCGGCCUCGAGGGAGGCAGGGGCGUGCGGAACUUCGGGUGGAGCGGUGAAAUGCGUAGAUAUCCGAAGGAACACCGGUGGCGAAAGCGGCGCGCUGGACCUCUACUGACGCUGAGGCGCGAAAGCCAGGGGAGCAAACGGG